AUACUCUGGUUUCUCUUCAGAUCGUAUAAAUCUUUCGCCUUUUACUAAAGAUUUCCGUGGAGAGGAACAUUUAUGAGUUUCGAUGAAUUUUUUGAGGCCUUACUUCGGUAGGGCU